rnacentral:rRNA from 1 species
AUUUGACCUCAAAUCAGGUUAGGAACUACCCGCUGAAU